AAGUCGUAACAAGGUUUCCGUAGGUGAACCUGCGGAAGGAUCAUUACCGAGUGGCCCAAGUCCGCAAGGACCGGUUACCCGACCUCUUGUCAUUUGCUCUGGGGUCGCCGGCAAGGUUCGGCCCGCACUUCCUCCAUGUGGGGUUGGGCGGGUCGCGCCGAACUGGCGGCCUCAGCUUCGAUAACUUCGGCGGAAGUGGUAGGUUCGACCUGCCCGCCGCCGGCCGUAUUCAACCUGCAAGUAAUUUUGAAGUCUGAUUUGAAUCAUAAUGGAAAGCAAAACUUUCAACAACGGAUCUCUUGGCUCUG
rnacentral:misc_RNA from 1 species